rnacentral:lncRNA from 1 species
GGACAAUGAGGGUCUCUCCCACCCCCCACUCGGCCUUAGUGGUCGCGUCCUUUUAAAGGGCCCGCAGGGUGGUGCUUUCGGUUGGGGCUCGAGCCAGACACACGCACGUGUGGGAGUUCAGUUGUUAUUGGUGCUGACGGUCGUGCAGGAGAACCAGUGGGCUAGGCACCCCAGAAAUAGGAGGCCUAGAGAAAUUCAGUGGCUUCCACCUGUUCUUUCGCACUUUUAUUCCAACCAAGAACGGUGCUUCAAUGAAGAGCUCUCAAGUGGCUCUUUUCUCCGAAGGAAGAAGGUGGCGGGGCUGGUUAAGCUGGAACCAACCUUCCAGCUCCUGUCCCAGCUCUCCUUCCCAGCUGCCAUGGAACGUGUGCUCCGGCAUUCUGUUACCUUCACCUACCAUGGGAAGCUCCUCAGUUUAAAAUAUUGUACAAAACAAGUUUCAGAAGUGAUGUAUGGCGGGAUUCAAAAGGAUGGACAGGCCACUGGUUGGAGAAGAAGCUCCCCGGUAGAUAGUUGUAUGUUUUUAGAUGUGGGUCCUUCUACUGAUGGCAUGUGGGAUGCCGCCACAGCGUGGCCUGAUGAGCGGUGCCGUGUAGGCACUCAGGAUCCGAACCGGCAAAACCCCGAGCCGCCAAAGCAGAGCACGUGAACUUAACCACUCAGCCACGGGGAGGGACCCUUAACAUCAUUGUUUUUAAACCUACUCAACUUGAAAGUGAUGUAUUUCCUUAAAAAAAUGAACUUUUUGAUUUAUCUGGACAGGUCCCAAGUGAGUUACUUUCUCUAUUGAUUUAUAUUGCAUGCCCAUAUAUUUAAGAUGGAGUUGGGAAGGACUAAAAUAUGCAUGUUACACUUGAACAAAUGCUCAUUUUAAGGAGGUAUAUCUUCUUCUGGAUCUCUCAUUAGGCACCAAGUAUCUACUUAUUGUUUCAUUGAUUUGAUUGUUAAAUAUCAAUUAAGGCUGUGAAGUUGGGCAUAGAAAAUUAAAUAAGCUGAGCUUUGUUCCAUAAUAGCAGUGAAAUCUCCCUCUAAUAGACUCUGCCUUGGCCUAUUAAUUUAAUUCAUACAGCGUGUUUUCAAGUACCUAUCACCUUUAAUAAGAAAAUGGAAAGUGAAAGGGGGAAAUGUAUUUCAGGUGCCGUGACUGUGAAAACCAUAUAUUGGUAAGCUCUUGAUUUCUUGAUCUGAGUAUGUUUUUAAAAGAGCAACAUGGAAAUUAACUUCCUUGC